CCAAUGUUGGCUUUAAGACAUAUUUCCUAACAGCUAAAGGACUUGGUUAAGCGGGCAUAUCUCUUAUAUGAAGAGCAUCCCCUUAAAAUGGACAUCCCAUUUAAAGAGUCCUAGUCUCAAGAGAGAGAUAAAAUGAGGUGAGAAAUACUAGGUGUUCUCCAUCAAGAAGAGAGAGAAAGAGGAAAGCUUGCUAUUCUUGUCCAUCAAGAAGAGAGAGAAAGGAGAAAGUUUGUUGUUCUUGUCCAUC
rnacentral:lncRNA from 1 species